AAGAAAGUAAAUAAGGGCGCAUGGCGGAUGCCUUGGCUCUCGGAGGCGAUGAAGGACGUGAUAAGCUGCGAUAAGCUUCGGGUAGGUGCAAAUGACCUUUGAUCCGAAGAUUUCCGAAUGGGACAACCCGGCAUUCUGAAGGAAUGUCAUCCAACUUGGUUGGAGGCUAACGCAGGGAACUGAAACAUCUUAGUACCUGCAGGAAAAGAAAAUAAAUAAUGAUUCCCCUAGUAGUGGCGAGCGAACGGGGAUUAGCCCAAACCACUCAUGUUACGGCAUGUGUGGGGUUGUAGGACCACGCUCUCGCAAGACAGUUAUUGAGAAGAAACGACUGGAAAGUCGUGCCAUAGACGGUGAUAGCCCGGUAUUCUAAGGUAACCGAAGCGUAGUGGUAUCCUGAGUAGCGCGGAGCACGAGGAAUUCUGCGUGAAUCAGCCGGGACCAUCCGGUAAGGCUAAAUACUCCCGAGAGACCGAUAGCGAACCAGUACUGUGAAGGAAAGGUGAAAAGCACUUCGAAUAGAAGAGUGAAAUAGUCCCUGAAACCAUGCGCCUACAAGCGGUCGGAGCAGCUUAAGUUGUGACGGCGUGCCUUUUGCAUAAUGAACCUACGAGUUACUUUUUCCGGCAAGGUUAAGCAUCUUGAGAUGUGGAUCCGAAGCGAAAGCGAGUCUGAAUAGGGCGGAUAGUCGGAAGGAGUAGACGCGAAACCAAGUGAUCUACCCUUGGGCAGGUUGAAGGUUAGGUAACACUAACUGGAGGACCGAACCGAUAAGCGUUGAAAAGCUUCCGGAUGACCUGAGGGUGGGGGUGAAAGGCUAAUCAAACUUGGAGAUAGCUCGUACUCCCCGAAAUGCAUUUAGGUGCAGCCUUGAGAGUUACUAAUGUGAGGUAGAGCGACUGAUAAGAUGCGAGGGCUUCACCGCCUAUCAAGUCUUGAUAAACUCCGAAUGCGCAUUAGUUCUAUCUCAGGAGUGAGGGCAUGGGUGCUAAGGUCCAUGUCCUAAAGGAGAAGAAUCCAGACCAUCAGCUAAGGUCCCCAAAUAAACACUAAGUUGAACUAACGAAGUCAGAUUGCUAAGACAGCUAGGAUGUUGGCUUGGAAGCAGCCAUUCAUUUAAAGAGUGCGUAACAGCUCACUAGUCGAGGAGUUUGGCGUGGAUAAUAAUCGGGCAU
rnacentral:rRNA from 1 species